AGUUAUUUCACAUAAAGCUUCUACUACGGUCCCCGAGUAUAGAUCUAGUUUGAGACUUUCCCACUCUUGCCAUAGUGAUUUUUCAUUCACGGUGGAAGAUAUUAUACAGGAUCAUUGACGAUCGUCAACCACAUAUAUAGAUCUGGAGAAUAAUUCCGACCAUCUCGUAGGAAUAGAAUUUCCGACCAUCCCGUCGGAAGAAAUUUUAAAGUUGCGGCAAAUAUUUCCGACCAUCCUCUCUCCAUCUCCUGUGCUAUAAGGACCAGAUCUGACCGGUACUUCAAGUCUGAUGCAUCUUCCACGGUGGCUUGCGGCGUACAUUUUUCUGGUAAACACGCAUUUUUCGGCGAUCGAGUUCAAGGACGGUAUCAGCAGUAGGGGAAGGCGACAACAACAAUUUCAGCAACCAAUUUCUACAUCAAAUUGUCAGAAUCCGACCAACCGAUUCAAGAAAACAUCCUCAGUUUCAUCUUCUCCCCGGAUCAAGUGCACUCGUUUCAUCUCUUCUAGUUCAUUUGAUCUAAGUUUCUUGACUAUUGGAGACAGAUGCGUCCCGUCUAGUUCGAUAUAUAUAUUUUCAGUCCUUUCUCUCUUGAUUUCUUGUCUAAUUAUCUUGACGGUUCUUGUGGAAUUAGUGACUCCUAUUUUUCUGUUACGUAGUAGGAGUUAGUUGAGACUAGCAUAUCUAUUUCCUGAUUUUUUUGCUUUUGGUAUACGUGGUGGUUUAAUUCUUGAUUCUUCCUGGGAGAUUUUAUUCAUUAUUA